CGUAGUUGUCAUGCGCUAUUUUUUAACCUAAAUUAGAGGAUGUAAGUCGAGCUGAACCAAAGACAUUUACAUCAAAUUAGGAAUUUGUAGGUCAAGCACCUGCUGUACAUAGAACAACAACCCAUUACAGCUUUGACUAUGCAGAGCAGGUAUUCUACCCAUACUAGGCACAGCAAGAGGGCCCUGCUUUGAAGUGUCUGUAAAUCAUAUGGUUCUCAGAUAUUUAUCUCAGUGAUAAGGGUUUAGCUAUUAUUUGGCCAAUGGUGUGGUAUCUCAUUUUCAACAUCAUCCAUAUGGAGAAGAAUCUGCAUACCUGCACGUUGACAACUGUGUUGGGCAGAGUAAAAACAAUGCAGUCAUUGGGGUCUGAUGUAUUCUGAAGGGGCUACAUAGAGAAAUAGCAUUUACUUAAAUGGAAGCAGGUGAAAUAAAGUUCAGUCCUGUCUGAGAUUUGGUCUGUGGAAGACCAAAUGGAGGCAGCACACAUCAUUUGUGGAUUGAUGACCUUGGCAAACUGGUUAUAUUCUUUGACUGGUUGGAGUACACCAAGAGACCCCUGAAGUCCAUUCCAAACUUGAGGAAAUAUCAUCACUUCAGAACUUCAGCUGACAACCCAGUGAAGUGUAACCAGAGAAAGUUUAACGGAUUAAACUGACGAUAAUGUUGAAAGUGCAGAUAAUAAAUAAACCAUAGCCAAAUGGUUUUUAGCAUUAUAGACGAAAUGUUUGGCGGUUUAGAAGGAAACAGAUGCUGCCGAUGAGUGAGGAUAAGUCUUAGAACUAGUCUCGAUUGCUUGAUGAAGAGGGACGAAACAGAAGCGAGAUUGAAAGUUCUAGUUUCACAUACAAGGUUGCAGCUAUUUCAGGAUGGAUGUUGCAUGGAAGGCAAGGUUUACAAACGAGGUGAAUUGACUCAUUCUAUUGCCAUUUACGAUUACGUAACAAAAUAACGCUUACAAAAUGAGACAGAAUAAAAGAUGGUCUUGUAGACAAGGCUUAACUCAGUAGCCUUUACAUGUUUCAAAUGAACACUUCCAUUCUUCGUGUAUUUAAAUUAGUUUUACUGUAUCGAUAUUUAACUGAAAUCAUUGAUUUUCCCAGAAAAGUACUUGUCAAUUAAAAACAUAGAAAAACACAAACGCUAGAUAAUGACAACAUUAUGGUUGAAAUGUGUAUGGCCAUAUCCAGUUUAUCGUUGUUGGUUUUGAAUUAUAGGUAACUGAGACUCAAAACUAUCUGAUAUUAGAUGCAGCAAUGUAGUUGCUGGCCAUAUAUGUUUUAUGUAAGCGUGUUCCUGACUUGUAAAUAUUUGAAGCUCAUAAUUCUAUGAUAGAUGAAGUAGUGUUUUAUUUUUCAUGGCGUAAUAGGCAUUAAGUGAGAGUCAUAGAUCCAGAUGGCCAAGAAGAUCAUGAUAAUUUUCCAUUAAUAUAAGUGAUAGAUACGUGAAUAAUUUCAGAUAAUUGCAUGAUUCUCAUUUCUUUUUUCAUGACGCCAAUGAUUUAAAUGUAUUUCGCGAUGAGUUAUGUGGACGCAAUGAUUAAAGAGGCAAUAUUUACCGACAGAAGACGAAAUGGGCUGAUCAAAAUAUGGCUUCAUAUUCCACGAACCAUCCCAGAUGUAAGUGAUAACCAAACUUAUAUUAUCUAUAAUAUAGAAUCCUUGGAAAAGAUUAAACAGUAAAUGGUAAAGAUAUUUGUAUGCUUUCGCUGCGAUUCCUGAUUCUAUCCCAUCUGGAUCGGAUGGCUGGUCAUGCCGUGACUGAGUUUCGAAACCUGAAAAAAUGCCAGGCAAAUACAAGCAGCAUAUAAAAUACCACUUAUGAAAGAAACCAUGAAAUAAAUACGAGUCUUUAUGUGCACUGCUCUGUCUGAUAUUGUACUUUCAAAAGUUGUUAUUAAAUAUAAAGUAAGUAAUAAUAUAGUCAUUUCACCUUUGACCAUUUAUAAGAUAAUGAGAAAAUUUACAAAGAUUUCUUCUAUGAAAUCAUUCGAAAAUAAGAAUUUAAUAUCUAUUAAUAUCAGAUAUAUUUUUCAAUUUAAAAUUACAUAAACAAUGUGUCAGUGAAGAGUCUUUUAUUUCAGAUGUAGAAUAUAGGUUGUGUUUAUCGUUAGCAACUUUUAACUUUCGGGUAAGAAAGAGGUAAUAAUAAAAUUAUAAACUUAAGAUUAUUCAUGGAAAUUCGUGCCCUCCUGCUUUCAUGAAGCAUAAAUUAAAGGAAACAAUAAUCAAUCCUUCGAGUUCGAUCCCACUUUAUCAUACUGCAAUUGAAAAUAUAAGUGUUCAUCUGAGUUUAAAUAUUAUGAUAUGCACGCCGUACUAACUCAAUUUAAUAUAUUUUUCAAGGCAAAAGCCAAUUGCUUCAGCAAUCACGUGGACGAAUCCGCUCCGUACUCAGUUUGCAAAUCCGGGAUUCAAAAAGUAUGUAGACACGGGAUACGAAAUAACUCCUACCGUAUGUGAACUUGGUAAAGAAGCGUAUUUACCCUUUGUUCAAUUGCAACAGAUUGAAUUGUUGCAAUGAACACAUCAACCGGAAACAAAAAGAAUAUAUUAAAUCGAUUUAGGUAGAAAAGUGUUGAACAUA